rnacentral:rRNA from 1 species
UACAGAGGUCCCGAGCGUUGUUCGGAUUCACUGGGCGUAAAGGGUGCGUAGGUGGCUGGAAAAGUUUGAUGUGAAAGCUCAGGGCUUAACCCUGAAAUGGCAUUGAAUACUGUCGAGCUGGAGGUUUGGAGGGGGGACUGGAAUUCUUGGUGUAGCGGUGAAAUGCGUAGAUAUCAAGAGGAACACCGGUGGCGAAGGCGGGUCUCUGGGCCGAUAUUGACGCUGAGGAGCGAAAGCGUGGGGAGCGAACAGG